AUACUUACAUAGCAGAGGAGAUACCAUGGUCAGGAAGGUGGCUUUCCCAGGGCACAGCUUAUCCUCUGGAUAUGCUAAACACUGUGAUUUCCCCAAAUGUGGGAAACUACACUGCAUGUUUGUGGUAGUGGGGGACUGCAUUAGUGCUCUACCCUU